CACCGCCCUCACAGUAAAGAACUUUUUCAUAAUAUCUAAUCUAAACCUGCCCUCUUUCAGUUUAAAGCCAUUUCUCCUUGUCUUACCAUUGCAUUCCUUUAUCAAAAGUCCCUCUACAGCUCUCCUGUAGGCUCCCUUUAGGCAUUGUAAGGCUGCCCUAAGGUAUCCCUGGAGCCUUCUCUUCUCCAGGCUGAACAACCCCAGCUGUCUCAGUCUGUCUGCAUAGGAGAGGUGCUCCAGCCCUCUGAGCAUCUUUGUGGCCCCUUCGUGGUCAUUAUUUCAUGGUCAUGGAUUGCAAACAGUAGCUCCUCUCUCUGGCAGGGAGCUCUGUAGUGAUGGAAAGAGGCAGAGUAACACCAGAAACUGAGCACAGCCUAGUGACUGUAAAAUCAGCAGCACAGCUCAUGCUGAAAAUCGUGUCCUUGAGCGGGAGGGGAACAUGUGACUGUGGAAAGAGGAACUAACAAGGGUAAGGAACAAGUGACAAGAAGAAAAAGGGAAACUCCCCCGAAACUAAAUACCUUGCUGCGGUUUCUAAUAAUAAAUUGCACCAUAUGCUGUUUCUUUCCUCACUCUUGGCUAUGCAAAUGUUAAACUAACAACCCCAAGCUGCUAAACCCUUCUUUAUGUAAUACCAGUCACAUAAAAACAACAUUGUUUUGGCAUAGAUAAAACCCUCAUGGCUAAUCCUCAGCUGAGUGUUGUCUCCCUGGAUUUCUUCUAAAGACUGGAGUCCUUUAGGAUUGCAUUGGGGCACAUUUGUCCUUGGAGCCUUUCCUUGCACAGCCUGUUUGUGAAAGGGAUGGAGCAGUGUUGUAUGAAAUAUUCUGCAGCUUCACCACCACCUUACUGGAUACUCACCCUCUGCAGAUGAAAAACAAUACUCAAAGUUUUCCUAAUGGUUGUGCUCCUGCCUGGAUGUGACAGACAGAGCUCACGUGAACCAUGUAAUUUAUAUGAGUGGUUCUGGCUUUUGUGUGCUCCUGAGCAUGACACUGACAGGCAAAGGAGCUCAGACUGCAGGCUGGCUGUUUAUGGCACUGAAGACAAAGAAAGCUCCGAAAAAAGGCUCCAGAUUUUCUUCCUAAUUAGUGUCCUCUAGACCCUUGUAAUCACAUGCCACGCAAAUGAACUG
rnacentral:lncRNA from 1 species